rnacentral:sRNA from 1 species
GCUGGACCUAUAGAAAAGUGUUGAAUAUUAACCAUAUGCAUCUGAAUACUGCUAAAGAAUUCACAACACUAAUUGAUGAUGAUAAUAUUAUAUUCACUGCCUUAUCAUUAUGAGCUGUGAGUGCAGCAACUGAGCCAAAUAUUCCAGAUGAUUAUAAAAAUUAUCUUGAUGUAUUCUGAGAAGACAUAUCUGAUGUGGAACAUGCACCUCAUGAUCAUGCUAUAGAGCUCAAAUCUGGCAAGAAACCCUCAUAUCAACUGAUAUAUAAUCUAUCACCUCAAGAACUCUCUGUCCUCUGAGAAUAUAUUGAAAA